rnacentral:rRNA from 1 species
UACGUAGGGGGCAAGCGUUGUCCGGAAUCAUUGGGCGUAAAGCGCGUGUAGGCGGCUUGGCAAGUCGGAUGUGAAAGCCCACGGCUCAACCGUGGAAGCGCAUCCGAAACUGCUUCGCUCGAGUCUCGGAGAGGAAGGUGGAAUGCUUGGUGUAGAGGUGAAAUUCGUAGAUAUCAAGCAGAACACCUGCGGCGAAGGCGGCCUUCUGGACGAUGACUGACGCUGAGACGCGAAAGCGUGGGGAGCAAACAGG